CAAAUCGUUAUGACAGAUUAAGUGUGAAGAAGUUAAGUUUCUUUUAUGGGGUUACUCUAACGAUAG
rnacentral:tRNA from 1 species